UUGUUUAACAACAAUAUUCUCAAAAUUUAAAAUACAAAUGUUUUCAACAAUUCUAAAUAACCUAUUGUGCUUCUUUUGCAUCCUACUAUGCUGGUUUUGUUGAAACUUCAUCCAAAUUCUACAAUAUAUAAUUGUACAUUCCUUGUGAAUUGGGUAGCCGUUGAAAAGGUGAAACAUGUUCCAUUAUAUCAUCUUCAAUGAUGAGUCAAAUUUAUUAGUCAUUGUUCAUAAAGCACAUAAAUAACAAACAAAACUAAUGCCUUAUGCAUAAAUUAAAACCCAUUAUGGAUACCACCACCACCCCAUCCAUAAAGAUUAGCAAGAAUUGAAUAUGAGUCGUACCUAUAAAAGCUUCAGUCGAAGCUUAUUUUCUUUGCACAUUUAUACCUAGAUGCCAAAAUAUUAACCUGAAUGUAUGUUGAUAUUAAAAAAAAUUAUCACUUCUCAGUAAACGUCCAUGUGACAGUAAAUUGUUACAGAAAUGGUCCCUCUGACAGUUAACUGCUAUAUAAAUGGUAUAUGUAACUGUAAACUGUCACAAGGACCAUUUAUGUAAUAGUUUACUGUUGUAAUGACCUUUUUGGCAACAAUUUCACUCAAGUUUUAAAAGUAAAAACUAAAAGAAAAAAAAUAAAUUAAAGUAUACCAUGUUAUCAAAGUGAAUUUGCUUGUCUAUCUCACUGAACCACGAAUCUGCAUAUUGGUAUUCAAUGUUAUCUCUAAUUGUCCACAUAUACAUGUAGCUGUUAGAUAAAUAAAGUUCUGAUUAUAACAUUGCACUCUAAUAUAACCUAUAAAGAAGUUAAGAAAAUAGGAAAAUUAAGUGUUUUAAAAUCUAUUUUACCUAUGGAAAGAUCCCAUCAGUCUUUGAAUUGAUACCUAUUUUUGGAGGAAAAAAACAUGUACAUUGAAUCCAAUUAAAAAAAAAUGCACACAGAAUAAAAGACAUUAACAUGCAAAAUAGUUGAACUUUAGAUUACUUUAAUCUUGAUGUCACUUUUCCAAACGGUAGCAAAUAUUUUCAAUAUGAGAUAUGAAUAUCAUGCAUGAAACUACAUAUUAUGGUUCUUAUUUGAUAAAUAAAUUACCUGUGUUGCAUGAAGUUGCUACUUGAAUAGACCUUUUAUCUUGUUCUUCUAGCUUCUCCAUCUCGUACAAUUGAAAACUUUAUGUCUCUCCUUCUGUUUUAUAUUAAAUAUCAGAUGCUCAAUUCCACAUUAUCAUUCUUAAAUUUAAGGGUACUCUACUCUUAGCUAAUUAAGGGGUAAGUAUGUACCUAAAUCGGAGCUCCAGCAAACCAAAAAACGUGAAUCCACAGACCAUGUUUCCUCGAUUCAAAGGCAUACAAACCAACCCAAUCCAAUUGCGCUAGUUCAUGUCCCAUAACAUACAAAUUGAGUUUCAAACUGAGAAGAAAGGGAUAAAUUAGUGAAAAUUGAUCUCUUUUGCAGUCUACCAAUGUUACCUUCGUUUGAAAAAACAAUUGAAUUCCUAAAGUUUCAAGUUCAAAAAACAUGGAAAACAACCAAAUGCACAUAUUCACCCAAAUUAGUCAAAAGUCGACACAUAUACACACAGAUUAGUCAAACGCCAAUAUAUAAUCCAUGUUUGAUUUACCUAAUUCUCGAUUUCGUUAAAACCCUAUCAACAAUUACAGUUAAUAAUCCCAAUCAGGUAAUAUGUGAACAAAUCUAACCAUACCUCCAAAUAUACCAUAAGGAUCGCGAGAAAUGAAGGAAGCUAAACAUAGAUGAGACAGGAAAACAAAUGAUUUCGUUGAAAGGUGGUCACCAGCGUAUCCCAAUUCCUGUUGUGGCUUCUUUUAACACAAUCGUCGGUGUUGGAGGUGACAACCGCGACGAGGGACCGAUGGUGAUGGAGCGAUGACAAGUGUUGGCAAUAAGUGGGUGAAGGUGACGGGGGUGAGCGACGAAGGAGAAUGGCGGAAGAUGGAGAAUGGUGGACGAGCUUUAGCUAUCAAUUUUGCCCUAAACAUUUUG
rnacentral:lncRNA from 1 species